rnacentral:sRNA from 1 species
CUCCCGGAGGCGUUGUCUGCGACUCGGCGGAGGCUCCAACUUCCAGUGGCCCUGUCGGGAAAGAUCAGAGCCUCCUAAGAAAUAUCCAGAAGUCAAGCCAUGGAUCCACCUGCACGUAAAGAAAAAACCAAAGUUAAAGAAUCUGUCAGCAGAGUUGAGAAGGCCAAACAGAAAUCAGCCCAGCAGGAGCUGAAGCAGAGACAAAGAGCAGAGGCAGACCCCCUGAGAGCUGUGGUCCUUUACCUUCCCAUUCCCACCUGGAUCCGGGUCCUCAGAUGAUGUGACUGCAUUGUGCUUUGGUGAACAAUAUGAGGGUUGCUAUAAGAAACAGCCCUGAAGCAGGAGAACAGAAGCUACAGAUAAGAAAACCAUUGAUCAGAGAAAUGGCGAUAUAGCCAAGGGAGCUCUCACUGGAGGAACAGAGCUAUCUAUACUUCCGUGUACAACAAAUGCUCUGGGAAAUGGAGAACCAGUUGCCAGCCCAUAUGUGGUUACCUCACACCAAUCAAAAGUGACUGUGGAGAGCACCCCCAAUUUGGAAAACCAAAUGAAAAUGGAGUAUCUCUGUUCAGAAUGAAAAUUUUGAAGAAAUUAUAAAUUUACCCAUUGGAUCGAAACCAUCCAGAUUAGAUGUCACUAACAGUAAGAGCCCAGAAAUUCCUUUGAAUCCAAUUUUGGCCUUUGAUGAUGAAGGGACGCUUGGGCCCC